AAAAGCUCACAUCGGACUUUUCUUGUUGGAAUUUCCGAUCGUGUGUACGCAGCAUUAGAGUUAGGACUACAGAAAAUGGAGUUCCUUGACAGGGCCUGUAGCUUAAACAUGUAUUUGUAAAUCCCCCUUAAUGCAUAUUGUUAGACAGGUCAUAUCGGUUGGUUGGUCGCUGGCUUGUAAGUUUGAACUUGGAAAUCUCUUUGUAUUUGUUUGACUUCCCAUCUGCUGUCAGAAUAAAAUCAAGCCAGACUGCUCAGCCAUUCACAUCAAGCCUUGUAUUUUAUCAAUAAAUACAAGGAUUCCUCUGGCCUGUUUCUCCACCUCAGCCAGUCAGAGGAAGCCUUGCAAUAAUUGAUAAAGUACAUGGCUUCCUGUCAGGCUCUGGUGUUAAAGCCUUUCCAUGAUGCAUGUGUGAGGCCCUGUCUACAUCACCAGUGCCUUACUUAACUCGGAAGUGGAAAACCGUAAUUGUAAGUAAAAGCAAAACAUUUUUGUUUAACCAAUGAAUGUAAGAUGAUUUCAUAUCAGCAUGCGAUUUUUUUAUUGAAAGGGGGGAAAGCUUGGUUUAACAUUUAACUGUCUUCCUGUUACCCAUUAGCUUUUGACAUUAAAACUCUGCAAACCACUAAACGCUAUUGUAACAUACAAAAGUAAAUUCAUAUUUGUCUUCAGCCCAUCUUGCAAAUAAUACUCCCAUAAUGAUUACCGCGUGUCCCCCUACCAAAAAAUGACAGCUCUGCAUUCUGACAAAGCUCUUGGGGGGGAAUGAAGCACGUUAUUGCAUUACAGCAUCCUGGGAACCCCCAUGUGAGAGGUGCCUCCUCACACAUUCUUUUGUCAUCAGCAGAUGCAUAAAGCCAUCAGGUCUCUACGGAUACAGCCGCUGCUCCCAAUUUAUUUUUUUUUGUUUACAAAUGAUUUUUUACUGAAGCAAAGGAAAUUAUACAGUCAUAUGACAGUACAUAACAGAAAAUUAAUGUCAUAGGGACAAUUAUGAAAAUCAAAAUAAGGAACAAAAAUUCCGAAGCAUACAAAAGUCAUUAAAAAAAUACUGAUCGUUAAUAUCUGACAUAACUUAUACAUACAAAUGUAGGAGGAAGGUAUACCUGAGAGUAUUGCUUAUGCAAGGUCUGGAAACCUAGAUUGGCAUCUAGUCAUGUGAUAGUAAAAUAUGCCUAUGGGUUUUCCAAGCAUCCCAUCUACGCUCGAAUAAGUGCAUUUUAUCUUGUAAUGUAUACAAAAUCCUCUCCAUUAGUAUAACUGUAUCCAUUCUGUUUAGAACAGAGGACAGGAGUACUGCGGGGGUCUUCCAGUGCAGAGCAAUAGCCUAUAGGGUGGAUAUGCAAAUAGUGUUUAUAAGACAUUUUUCCUUUGUGGAAGAUACCUGGGAUUGAAGCUCCAAGAAGACACAUGGAGACUGUGAGCUGUAGAGGAGUACCUGAUAUUGCUGAAGCGAUGGCAGUCACUUUCUUCCAAACUCGAGAAAGUAGUUCACAGUCCCAAAAUACGUACUUAAAGGUACCUGGGAGCUUGCAGCCCCUGAAGCAUAGUCCCGAUGUCCCCGGAAAUAUGGCCUGAAGUCUGGAGGGGGUAUAAUACCACCUGGUCAAUACCUUGUAGGCCGUUUCUCUAACUGCCAAGGAUUUUGAGGCUUUGCGCAAGUUAUCCAACAUGGUGUCCCAGUCUUAUGGAGCCAACUGUUCAUCGGUCUGUCUCCCAUUUAUGUUUAUAUGGAGGUUCUCCCGGGAAACCCGAGGACAAAGCUGAUUUGUAGAGGAUUUCUUCCCAAUUUGACAUACGUGCAGGUGCGUGUUCAAGGCUGUGCACUCUAUGCCAAAUUGAGAGCACCUGUGCCCCAAUAGACAUGAAUGUGACUGCUUGCACAGAAAUGCCUGGAACACUUGUGCAUCCCCAUGCGGGUAAAUCUGACCCUUACUCGGGUGUACACUGUGUAGUACGCCCCAUGUGAGCGAAGCCUUAAGCACAACAACUGUGCAGCACUGCAAAGUAGUAAGCAGAGCCUGAAUAUCUAAUGAACAUUUGUCCCUGUGUACAUUUAUAAAUACAAAUUAUACACAGAAAUUGCUUUAAGACAUCAAUGAAAUUUGAUUAUAUAACAUCAAGGUGAUUUAAAAAAAAAAUGUAUACAGCACAUGUCCAUUUAAAAUGCAUAUACCUGCCACACACACAUUACAGGAACAUUUUUAUUUGAAAACUAAGUUGCAGGCACAUGCUUUUGUAAAUUACUGCAGAUGGUAGCAUUUGUGCAGACAUGGGGCAAUUGGUUGACUGAUGGGCAGAUUAGGAAAGGAUGUUGGAUUUAAACAAGUGCCAGUAGCUGAGCAAAGAUGAAAAUAAAAUACAGAGAAUAUUCUUCAAUUCCUCUGUUUCCUUUUUUAGUGAUUACAAGGAAAUUGGACAUCCUGAUCUGAUCUGGCAUUUGAUUUAAUUUUAAAAUAUUAAAAAUAAAAGGUUACUGUAACUUGUGAAACCCCAUUGUAACCGUCUAGUCUGUUUAUGACUCUGAAUGUUGUGGAACAUGCUGUUUUGUAUAUAUGCAAUUGUUUCAAUAAAGUUAUUUUUGAAAACAAA